ensembl:snRNA U6 U6 spliceosomal RNA
UUGCUUGGACAGCACAUAUACUAAAACUAGAGUUGUACACGGAAGAUUAGUGUGGCCCCUGUGCAAGGAUGACACACGAAUUGGUGAAGUGUUCCAUAUUAAA